UACGGAGGAUCCGAGCGUUAUCCGGAUUUAUUGGGUUUAAAGGGUGCACAGGCGGGAGAUUAAGUCGGCGGUGAAAUUUUGCAGCUCAACUGUAAAAGUGCCUUCGAAACUGGUUUCCUUGAGUGUGGAUGAAGUAGGCGGAAUUUGUGGUGUAGCGGUGAAAUGCAUAGAUAUCACGAGGAACUCCGAUUGCGCAGGCAGCUUACUAAACCAUAACUGACGCUCAGGCACGAAGGCGUGGGGAUCAAACAGGAUUAGAUACCCCUGUAGU
rnacentral:rRNA from 1 species